UAAUCCCGGCACAUUGGGACGCUAAGGUGGGAAGAUUGCUUGAGCCCAGGAGUUCAAGACCCGCCUGGCCAACAUAGGGAGACUCCAGUGUCUACAAA